ensembl:lincRNA
GCCUCUCUCCUCAUAUGGUGCUGUAUACUGCAUUUAUCAUAGGUUUUUAAAAAUACUUUGUAGACAUGUCUUAGUGAAUUCACCUAGGAAUUUCAUAUUUAUUAUUUAAAUAUUAAUGCUGAAGCAAACACAAUAAGCUUCAAAGUAAAACGACUCUAGAGGAAGAGGCCAAGAAAUAAAGGUACCAACUAAUUUUCCUAAUUAUAUUGACCCAGGGAGGCUGAUUAAUGUAAUAUGUGAAACUCUCUAGGCAGGAAACCAUGUUUCUCAAAGGUCUCAGAAAUUGCAAAUCAAGCAUGUUUUAGAAUUUAGAAAAUGUAAAACCUGAGUAAAAGUCUAUUAACUGAUUUUUAAAAUGGAAACAGAAACUCAGGAGGCUUACUUUGCUGUUCUGCUGAAGAGCUCGAGAUUUAUCAUCCAAGGAGACUGUUGAUUUGGUAAUUUGCCCUCUGGCAGGUCUGACAUUGGAAUAAUGCAGAACACUUGAUUCAGGUCAUAGAAGAAGCAACACUUCGGGCACAACACAACACAACCAAGUGAGCACUGGAAACCUGCCACAGCCUCAUAGAUGAGUCCAGUCAGUAUUUUAAUAAAAACCUUUCAAGCCAAUUGGAUGUGCAUUACCUCCAUGAACUUCUGCACAGCUGCAAGCAUUCCAAAUUUCAGGUUUAUGCCUGUGUGUUCCAUGAAGAGUCAGUCAUGGUGAAGAGCAAAAGCCCCAAGGAGAAGACUAAGAAGCCUCUUUUUGCUGCCACCUUUUCUUGUCCCAGGUAUUUGAAAAACACAGAUUUGUAAGGUGAGCAUAUUGGAUUAGCAAGAGAUACAUUUGAAGGUCCGUCUUGUUCUAGCAUUCCAUGAAAUAAGAAAGGGACUAUGACUCUAUUUUAUACCUUUAAUGAAAAAUAAGAUCAAAUAUAUAAAAUAACAUUAGCAACCAAACACCAAAUCAUAAACAUGUCAAAACAUUAGCAUAUAAUAUAAAGUAGUAAGUAGAUUUACUGAUUUUUGUUAUAUUUAUGUCAUCAUGCAUGUAUAUUCUAUAUCUACAUAUCUGAUGUAAAAAUUACACUGUGUCUCUGCCUGCACUGAAAAUAUUUUAUUAGAUACACAUUAGGAUGGUUAUUGUGAAAAAAGAAGAAAAAAGUGUUGGUGAGGAUGGGGAGAAAUUGGAACCCUUGCGCAUUGCUGGGAGUAAUAUAAAAUGGCACAGCCACUGUGGAAAAUGGAUUGGCAAUUCAUAAAAAAGUGGUAUAUAGAAUUACCAUGUGAUCUAGCAAUUCUACGUCUCGGUGUAUACUCAAAAUAAAUACAGGCAGAGAUUCAAACAGAUAUUUGUAGACCAAGGUUCAUAGGAGCAUUAUUCACAAUAACCGAAAUGUGGAAGCAACCCAAAUGUUCAUUGAGAGAUGAAUGAAAAAACAAAAUGUAAUGUAUAUGCAGUGGAACAAAAUGUGAUGUAUAUACAAUAUUCAGUCUUUAAAAGUAAGUAAAUUAUGACAGAUGCUACAACAUGGGUGAACCUUGAAGACAUCCUAAGUAAAAUAAGCCAGUCACAAAAGGACAUUUACUAUAAUACUUCAGUUAUAUCAGGUACCUAGAGUAAUCAAAUUCAUAGAGACAGAAUGCAGAAUGUAGAAUGCUUGAGGGAAGGGGAAGGAAGGGAAAACUAGUGUUUAAUGGGUACAGAGUUUUCACUGGGGAAGAUAAAAAAGUUACUAAGUGGUAAUGGUUGCACAACAAUGUAAACAUACUUCUUGCCAU